UUAAGUAAGGAAGGGCGUACGGCGAAUGCCUGGCCACUCGAAACUGAAGAAGGACGCGCCAAACUGCGAAAAGCUCCGUGAAGCUGUAAGGAAGCGAAGAAGCGGAGGUGUCCGAAUGGGGGAACCCGGCAGCAGACAUGAGCUGUCAUCUGCAGGUGAAUACAUGGCCUGCAAGAGAGGUACCCGGCGAACUGAAACAUCUAAGUAGCCGGAGGAAAAGAAAACAACAGUGAUUCCCUGAGUAGCGGCGAGCGAAAGGGGAGAAGCCCAAACCGGUUGAAGGACCGGGGUUGAAGGACCAUGAGAUGGCAAGAACGAGGAUAGGAGAACGGGAUCGAAAGCCCGGCCGAAGAAGGUGAAAGCCCUGUAACCGAAAUCCGAGCGAAGCCUAAUGGGAUCCUGAGUACGGCGAGACACGAGAAAUCUUGUCGGAAGCAGGCGGGACCAUCCGCCAAGGCUAAAUAUAAACGAGUGAGCGAUAGUGAACCAGUACCGUGAGGGAAAGGUGAAAAGAACCGCGGGAGCGGAGUGAAAGAGAACCUGAAACCGUAUGCCUACAAGAAGUCAGAGCCCGUUAAGGGGUGAUGGCGUGCCUUUUGUAGAAUGAACCGGCGAGUUGCGACAGACUGCGAGGUUAAGGAGGAAAGACCGGAGCCGAAGCGAAAGCGAGUCUUAAGAGGGCGAAAGUAGGAUGUUGCAGACCCGAAACCGGGUGAUCUAGCCAUGAGCAGGUUGAAGUUGAGGUGAAACUCAAUGGAGGACCGAACCGACUACCGUUGAAAAGUUAGCGGAUGACUUGUGGCUAGGGGAGAAAUUCCAAUCGAACCCGGAGAUAGCUGGUUCUCCCCGAAAUAGCUUUAGGGCUAGCGUUGGAAAGAACCUUAGUGAAGGUAGAGCACUGAAUGUGUGAUGGCCCCAUCCCGGGGUACUGAAUACAAUCAAACUGCGAAUGUCAUUAAGGAUGUCCGGCAGUCAGACUGUGAGUGAUAAGGUCCAUGGUCAAGAGGGAAACAGCCCAGACCGCCAGUUAAGGUCCCAAAAUACAGGCUAAGUGGAAAAGGAUGUGGGGAUGCCCAGACAACUAGGAGGUUGGCUCAGAAGCAGCCAUCCUUUAAAGAGUGCGUAACAGCUCACUAGUCGAGUGACCCUGCGCCGAAAAUGUACCGGGGCUAAGCCUGAUACCGAAACUGCGGAUUGUAGGAAACUAUAGUGGUAGGGGAGCGUUGUAUACGAGCAGAAGCCGUACCGUGAGGAGCGGUGGAUUGUAUAGAAGUGAGAAUGCCGGUGUGAGUAGCGAGAUGUAGGUGAGAAUCCUACACACCGAAAGCCCAAGGAUUCCAGGGGAAGGUUCGUCCGCCCUGGGUAAGUCGGGACCUAACGCGAGGCCGAAAGGCGUAGUGGAUGGAAAGCAGGCGAAAGAUUCCUGCACCCGUAUAUGGAGCGAAGGAGUGACGGAGACGGAUAGUGUGACCCUCUUAAUGGAUUGAGGGCGAAGCGAAGCGGCUGGUUACCAGGCAAAUCCGGUAACCUCAAGGCUAGGGCGUGACAGGCAAGCGAAAUCCAAGGAAAGUAGCGAAGCACAUGAUGACGGCUUCCAGGAAAAGCUUCUGGCAAUGCAUAUGCGGCCCGUACCAAAACCGACACAGGUGGGCAGGGAGAGAAUCCCGAGGUGAGCGAGAGAACUGUUGCCAAGGAACUCGGCAAAAUGACUCCGUAAGUUAGCGAGAAGGAGUGCUUAAGCAAUUAAGCCGCAGUGAAGAGGCCCAAGCGACUGUUUAACUAAAACACAGCUCUCUGCGAAGUCGCAAGACGAAGUAUAGGGGGUGACACCUGCCCGGUGCUGGAAGGUUAAGAGGAUCUGUUAAGAGCGAUCUGAAGCAGUGAUCCGAAGCCCCAGUGAACGGCGGCCGUAACUAUAACGGUCCUAAGGUAGCGAAAUUCCUUGUCAGGUAAG
rnacentral:rRNA from 1 species